CAGCCGCCGCGGUAAUACGGAGGGUGCAAGCGUUAAUCGGAAUUACUGGGCGUAAAGCGCACGCAGGCGGUCUGUCAAGUCAGAUGUGAAAUCCCCGGGCUUAACCUGGGAACUGCAUUUGAAACUGGCAGGCUAGAGUCUUGUAGAGGGGGGUAGAAUUCCAGGUGUAGCGGUGAAAUGCGUAGAGAUCUGGAGGAAUACCGGUGGCGAAGGCGGCCAUCUGGCCUAAUACUGACGCUGAGGUACGAAAGCAUGGGGAGCAAACAGGAUUAGAUACCCCUGUAGUCCCUGUCUCUUAUAA
rnacentral:rRNA from 1 species